ensembl:snoRNA
UGCCCCUGACCUGGGUGAAUUGGCAUCAGUUUUGUGGUACUCAAUUCACUUCAGCAGGGGCAAAACAGCCAGCCUCCCGUUUUUCCAGCUUGGCUGCUGCUCUAUGUAGCCCAGGCCUGGCUUUGCUUAUGUGGAGCAA